GAUGAAGAACGUAGCGAAAUGCGAUACGUAAUGUGAAUUGCAGAAUUCAGUGAAUCAUCGAGUCUUUGAACGCACAUUGCGCCCCCUGGUAUUCCGGGGGGCAUGCCUGUCCGAGCGUCAUUGCUGCCCUCAAGCACGGCUUGUGUGUUGGGCCUCCGUCCUCCUCCCGGGGGACGGGCCCGAAAGGCAGCGGCGGCACCGCGUCCGGUCCUCGAGCGUAUGGGGCUUCGUCACCCGCUCUUGUAGGCCCGGCCGGCGCUUGCCGACACAUCAAUCUUUUUUCCAGGUUGACCUCGGAUCAGGUAGGGAUACCCGCUGAACUUAAGCAUAUCAAUAAGCGGAUGA
rnacentral:misc_RNA from 1 species